rnacentral:rRNA from 1 species
GAUGAACGCUGGCGGCGUGCUUAACACAUGCAAGUCGAACGGAAAGGCUCCUGCUUGCAGGGGUACUCGAGUGGCGAACGGGUGAGUAACACGUGGGUGAUCUGCCCUGCACUUCGGGAUAAGCCUGGGAAACUGGGUCUAAUACCGGAUAGGACGAUGGUUUGGAUGCCAUUGUUGAAAGUUUUUCGGUGUGGGAUGAGCUCGCGGGCUAUCAGCUUGUUGGUGGGGUAAUGGCCUACCAAGGCGUCGACGGGUAGCCGACCUGGGAGGGUGUACGGCCACAUUGGGCCUGCGAGACGGCGCAGACUCCUACGGGAGGCAGCAGUGGGGAAUAUUGCACAAUGGGCGCGAGCCUGAUGCAGCGACGCCGCGUGGGGGAUGACGGCCUUCGGGUUGUAAACUGCUUUCGCUAGAGACGAAGCGCAAGUGACGGUACCUGGAGAAGAAGCACCGGCUAACUACGUG